AGAGUUUGAUCCUGGCUCAGGAUGAACGCUAGCUACAGGCUUAACACAUGCAAGUCGAGGGGAAACGACAUUGAAAGCUUGCUUUCGAUGGGCGUCGACCGGCGCACGGGUGAGUAACGCGUAUCCAACCUGCCCAUCACUUGGGGAUAACCUUGCGAAAGUAAGACUAAUACCCAAUGACGUCUCUAGAAGACAUCUGAAAGAGAUUAAAGAUUUAUCGGUGAUGGAUGGGGAUGCGUCUGAUUAGCUUGUUGGCGGGGUAACGGCCCACCAAGGCUACGAUCAGUAGGGGUUCUGAGAGGAAGGUCCCCCACAUUGGAACUGAGACACGGUCCAAACUCCUACGGGAGGCAGCAGUGAGGAAUAUUGGUCAAUGGGCGAGAGCCUGAACCAGCCAAGUAGCGUGCAGGAUGACGGCCCUAUGGGUUGUAAACUGCUUUUAUAAGGGAAUAAAGUGAGCCUCGUGAGGCUUUUUGCAUGUACCUUAUGAAUAAGGACCGGCUAAUUCCGUGCCAGCAGCCGCGGUAAUACGGAAGGUCCGGGCGUUAUCCGGAUUUAUUGGGUUUAAAGGGAGCGUAGGCCGGAGAUUAAGCGUGUUGUGAAAUGUAGACGCUCAACGUCUGCACUGCAGCGCGAACUGGUUUCCUUGAGUACGCACAAAGUGGGCGGAAUUCGUGGUGUAGCGGUGAAAUGCUUAGAUAUCACGAAGAACUCCGAUUGCGAAGGCAGCUCACUGGAGCGCAACUGACGCUGAAGCUCGAAAGUGCGGGUAUCGAACAGGAUUAGAUACCCUGGUAGUCCGCACGGUAAACGAUGGAUGCCCGCUGUUGGUCUGAAUAGGUCAGCGGCCAAGCGAAAGCAUUAAGCAUCCCACCUGGGGAGUACGCCGGCAACGGUGAAACUCAAAGGAAUUGACGG
rnacentral:rRNA from 1 species